CGUAGGGUGCGAGCGUUAAUCGGAAUUACUGGGCGUAAGGCGUGCGCAGGCGGUUAUAUAAGACAGAUGUGAAAUCCCCGGGCUCAACCUGGGAACUGCAUUUGUGACUGUAUAGCUAGAGUACGGCAGAGGGGGAUGGAAUUCCGCGUGUAGCAGUGAAAUGCGUAGAUAUGCGGAGGAACACCGAUGGCGAAGGCAAUCCCCUGGGCCUGUACUGACGCUCAUGCACGAAAGCGUGGGGAGCAAACAGGAUUAGAUACCCUGGUAGUCCACGCCCUAAACGAUGUCAACUGGUUGUUGGGUCUUCACUGACUCAGUAACGAAGCUAACGCGUGAAGUUGACCGCCUGGGGAGUACGGCCGCAAGGUUG
rnacentral:rRNA from 1 species